rnacentral:snRNA from 1 species
UAACUCUCAUGUCUCUUGAUUUGCAGAUAAAUCUUUCUCCUUUUACCAAAAGAUUUCCGUGGGGAGGCACAAGACAAUGAGUUUUGCCUCAUUUUUUCCAGCACUGCCUUCGGACAGAGU